rnacentral:lncRNA from 1 species
UGCUCUUAACAGCCAUUGACCAAAUUGUACAGCCCCUUUAUUAGAAGUUCUUGAAACCCUAUGUGCACAGCAAGUUUUUCCCUCUCUCUGGUGGACCCUAAACUUCUUUAUUUUUAACAGUGAAUGCGACUGUGUGCCUCUUGGGGGACUUCUCCUGAUGCACAGCCAAAAUGUAAUGUUUUGUUCACUCCUUCCUCUGAGAAGAGGACUGGAUCAGCCUAUGAAUACUAGAAAACAUGCAUUUGAUUUCUGCUUUCAAUCAUUUUUUGAGAUUUAUUGUUCCUGGUUGUGUACCAUUAGACAGAAGUGAUGGGAUCAAUAAAACUUGGAAUUGUCUAACAAGAAAGGGCCAGUUUCUUGCUUAUUAUAUUUGUAAUAACAGAGUCCAUUGGGUAGCACUCCGGUCUGUGAAAGUCAGUGAAUCAAUAAUGCUCUUGUGGUCUGGAUAAUAAUAUACCUUGGCAUGGUGUGAGUGAUGCCAGCAGGUGGGCGGAGAGGCAGGGAAGGAAAGGUCUCAUGCCUUUCAGGUUGACACUAAGAAAGAGGCUUCCAUUCCUUUCCCUGUUCUACCACAUUCUCCUAAUGUGUAUAAGAAAUUAUUCAAAGACAGCAACAGAUUUCCCUCCUGACCUUUAUAGUUGCUGGUUUGGAAUGAUUUUUGGCUGCUUGCUGGAAAAAAAAAUUAUUGCAGAGAUGAAUUGUCAGGACAUCCGCUCCCCUUCCCAUCAGCUUUAUAAACAUUUUGUACUGGAGGCAGUGUGUGUGUGCAGAAGAAACGCUAUGGAAAGUGCUGUAGAAACAAGUGUGGUUUGUUGGCUACCAAAUCUCAAGGCUAUGCUCACUGGUCAGAAUGGUUGGUGUCCAGACCCCCAGCCCCUCAGAUUCUGAGAUGUCUGUGUACCAGGGUAGCACCAGGGAUGGGUUUUCUCUGAGACUGUCUUUUCAUGAUACAGUGUAAAAUGUUUCCCAUGAAAGGGCAGAGCUGAAGAAGCAGUGCAAGUCCAUUUGAAGACCUCUGGAAGGAAACCCCCAGCGGCUCUUUUUUCACUGAACAAGCAUUGUGGGAAUUUGGGGCUCGGCUGUGUAAUUUGUCCUCUUCUCAUUCAUUCAGGUACUAGGAGAGCAGGGCAGUAUGGAAAGGUGCUACUUCAAGGGAAAGGCUUUGAGGUUAUUGCAAAUGGUGGGGGACUGGGGUGGAGUGGGCUACAGGUACAGUGACCAGAAGAUGCUGAAUUCCAAACUGUUUCCUAAAGCCUUUCUUCUGGACUCGACAGUUUUCAAAUCUAAAGAACAUAUUGUGUUGUUUGCAAAGGAAAUAUUGUAAUGGCUUCUUAGUUCAUCCAGGAAAAGAGUCUGUCACUAAUGGGCAUUUUGUAAAAUGAAAUCCUUCUAGGGAGAAGGAUAACUGGUCAGAUUUGAAGGUUAAAAAAAAAGGUCUUGACACUGAUCUCGGUUUGCAGAGAAACAAGAAAUUCUGUCUGACUUCUUUUCAGUGGGAGCUAAAAUUUUAACCACCCCGAUUGCACUCACUUAUAUGAAAACGUUAAUGUUAAACAAAUAGGCAGGGAUUUCUUUUAUUAUUAUUUAUAGAGGAGAAUUUUGCCAUCAGGAAACAUGUUGGCUAAUCUGCUUUGGCCAAAUUCUCCUUAGAGACAGUGAUUAAUAGAAGGAAUGAGUGGAAGAUUAGUAUACGCACAAGGCUAUUCAGGAGUGGGGGUAAAAUGUUAAUGCGGUGACCUUUAAAUCUUCAUUUUUCUUUAUUUCCCUGAAUGCUAAUUAAAGGACAUGUUCAGCACCAGGAGGAAUUUGCAUCCAAGUCCGUCUCCCUGCUAAGUGGUAUUUUGAGAAUUCCGAAGCUUAGUCUCAGAGAAGAGCUGACCUGAACUUGCCGAGGCUCCCACUGCAUUGUAGCUUUUCUCUGGAGAACAAAAACUGCCAUUGUCCAGCAGCUCAUUAGCAUGACUGUACAGCCUCCGGAGUUAGCAAGGUGAUGCAAAAAUAAUAUGACAAGAUCCAUGUCUUCAAUGAGCUACAAUCCUACUGGGACAUGAGACUGUGCUUAUAAUAUGAUGAAAGAAUAAGAAAAUUUUAAAGAUGAAAACACAGCAGCAACAGGUGCCAUUUUGGAAGCAAGAAGCAGAGAACAAGCUCUCACUGGGCAUUAAAUCUGCCGGCAUCUUGAUCUUGAACUUCUCAACCUCCAGAACUCUGAGAAAU